rnacentral:misc_RNA from 1 species
GAUGAAGAACGUAGCGAAAUGCGAUAAGUAAUGCGAAUUGCAGAUUUCAGUGAGUCAUCGAAACUUUGAACGCACAUUGCGCCCGCCAGUAUUCUGGCGGGCAUGCCUGUUCGAGCGUCAUUUCAACCAUCAAGCCCCCGGGCUUGCGUUGGGGCCCUGCGGCUGCCGCAGGCCCCGAAAAGCAGUGGCGGGCUCGCUGUCACACCGAGCGCAGUAGCGAUUCUCGCUCCGGGCGUCGGCGGCGGGCACCGGCCGUGAAACCCCCCCACAUCCACAAGGUUGACCUCGGAUCAGGUAGGAAUACCCGCUGAACUUAAGCAUAUCAAUAGCGGAGGA